GAUGAACGCUGGCGGCAUGCCUAAUACAUGCAAGUCGAACGAGAGGAAGGAAAGCUUGCUUUUCUGAAUCUAGUGGCGAACGGGUGAGUAACACGUAGGUAACCUGCCCAUGUGCCCGGGAUAACUUCUGGAAACGGAUGCUAAAACCGGAUAGGUAGCAGACAAGCAUUUGACUGCUAUUAAAGUGGCUAAGGCCAUGAACAUGGAUGGACCUGCGGUGCAUUAGCUAGUCGGUGAGGUAACGGCCCACCAAGGCGACGAUGCAUAGCCGGCCUGAGAGGGCGGACGGCCACAUUGGGACUGAGACACGGCCCAAACUCCUACGGGAGGCAGCAGUAGGGAAUUUUCGUCAAUGGGGGGAACCCUGAACGAGCAAUGCCGCGUGAGUGAGGAAGGUCUUCGGAUCGUAAAGCUCUGUUGUAAGAGAAAAACGACAUUCAUAGGGAAUGAUGAGUGAGUGAUGGUAUCUUACCAGAAAGUCACGGCUAACUACGUGCCAGCAGCCGCGGUAAUAC
rnacentral:rRNA from 1 species